ACCCAUAGGCGUUGAAAAGCCCCGGGAUGACUUGUGGAUAGGGGUGAAAGGCCAAUCAAACUUCGUGAUAGCUGGUUCUCUCCGAAAUAUAUUUAGGUAUAGCGUUGUGUCGUAAUAUAAGGGGGUAGAGCACUGAAUGGGCUAGGGCAUACACCAAUGUACCAAACCCUAUCAAACUCCGAAUACCUUAUAUGUAAUCACAGCAGUCAGGCGGCGAGUGAUAAAAUCCGUCGUCAAGAGGGAAACAACCCAGACUACCAGCUAAGGUCCCUAAAUCUUACUUAAGUGGAAAACGAUGUGAAGUUACUUAAACAACCAGGAGGUUGGCUUAGAAGCAGCCAUCCUUUAAAGAAAGCGUAAUAGCUCACUGGUCUAGUGAUUUUGCGCGGAAAAUAUAACGGGGCUAAAGU
rnacentral:rRNA from 1 species